AUAAACGGCAAAAUGUUAAACAAAAAGGAGUUUUUGUGGCUGUAACGAAAAAAAAAAGUGAAACUCGCCGGAAAACAAAGUAUGAACCUUUACGACGACGAGUCUCUGAAGCAGGAGGUAAUCUACCUCCACUCCCUCUGGCACCAAGGCCCUCCCACCCGAAACCCGAUCCCCACCCCUAAUAUCAACCCGGUUCAGAGAUCCAGGCCCAAUUACAUCCCUCCGGCGGAUUUUCAGCUUCUCUCUCGCUACGGAGCCAACCCUAUUCAUCCCCAACCUCCCCUCAGCAACAAGCGCUCCAGACCCGGGUCGGAUCGGGAAUGGCCCGUGAAGGAGCUGCCCCGUUAUCCUCCCACGGGGUGGCCUGAAGCCAAGCCGUGCAAAAAGGCGCGACCUUUAUCAGAUUCGGAGAAAGCUAAGCUCGCCGUGAGCCAGAUUCAGAGAGACACCCACCGCGCUUGCCGCGAGUUUUUCGGCAAGAGAGCAACAUCUGGUGAAGAAUCGGAUGCUGAUGAUGGAGGAGGAGGGGACGAGGAGUUUCAGUUUCUGUCGAGGCUGUUCGAGGAGAACGCGAAGCUGAAGGAGAGUUACGAGAAGAACACUGUGCACGGAGAAGUGUGGUGUCUUGUCUGUGGUGGGAGCGGCGAGAAAAGUGUGAGGAAGUUUAAGAACUGUUUGGCUUUGGUUCAGCAUUCGCUUGCUAUUCACAAGACUAUGAAGAAUCAGCAUAGGGCUCUGGCCCAGGUUGUGUGCAAUGUUCUUGGAUGGGAUGUUAACAAUCCAGUUGCUUCAAGCCAAAAAGACUCUCAGGCAUUAGGGGUAGAGGCGACUGUGGAAGGUGCUACGGAGCUGCCUCCAGACCUAAAGAAGCUUCAGGAGAAAGAACAUGUGAUGUCUGCUGAUGAACAAGCAAAGUCUGUUGUGUUACAAAUGCAGCAGAAUGCAUCAGAAGCUUUGAAAGGCAUAUCUGUGAAGGAUACUACUGGUUCAGUUGAGAAUGGUGAUGAACAAGUUUCUGAGGAGUUGGAGUCAAUAUCACGACUCUUCUCAGAGAACGUUGAGCUGAAAAGUUACUACGAGAAAAACUCUGAAGGUGGACACUUUGUCUGCCUAGUGUGUUGUGCUGCGACUGAUAAGAAGAUGAUUAAGAGGUUCAAGCACUGUCAUGGACUUGUUCUGCAUUCUACUAAAACCCCGAAAAUUGCAAUAAGAGCUCACAAGGCUUUUGCUCGGUUCGUCUGUAAACUGCUUGGCUGGGAGUUUGAUCAUCUUCCACGUAGAUUAGUGAAAGGUGGUGCUCCUCUUGUCGAAUCUAGUGCCAACCAGAACACUGAGAAGCCCUCAUUGAUGCUCGAGGAACAUAUGAACGAAGACGAAGUCGAUGUUCCACAGGAAAAUAACGAGCCAUGCGUUGGAAAGUAGAUGCAGGAUGCAAGCACAACCAAAUAACACAUUGUUCUCUUCUGGGAGUUCAAUUUAAAGAUUCAAGAUAAACAAAGUUAUGUAAAUGGAGGGCCCUGAAUCAUCAGAUAGGCAUUUAAUUAAAACACCUCAGAGGCAGUGUGACUCUAAAAAUUCAGAUAAAAAUGGGGCUCGAAGAAGAUGAAGAUCGCCAUCAUACAUACAUCCAGAUCUUGGUAUAGGCAUCUUUCAAGUAACGGUGUAUGGUUCGUUCCUGCCACGUCAUAUUUUCUACCGUCUACACGCAAUGUGUGCAUAUUUAAGGUGCUUGUUUGUUGCUCUUUGUGUUCUCUUGGGAUGGUCUUCCUUCGAUGUUGUAUUAGCAGACCAGGUUUCAGUCGUUGUCCCUUUGCUGAAACUCAAAAGAUCAUCGAAGGUAUUCUCAAAACUUUCCUUUAUUCAUCGUCUCUUUUGAUCACUUCAUUAUUAAUAGCUUAAUCUGGAACAUAUUUGUUGGAUAUUAGGUUGUUUUCUACUGCCAUUUCCCGGAUCUCUUUUUAGCUAAACAUACAACUGUUUCAGCUUUUGCUAUUUUAUGCAAACAUUAUCAAAAUCUAAGUGAUGUUACUCUUACUGUUGCUGGUAAGUGUUUCUUUUUCUAGGUCUGGGCGUUCGGGUUCGGGUCGGAUCUUUUAAGUUUUUGCGUUUUCGGUUUCACCUUUCUUGGUCCCAUUCUAAAAUUUAUUAGUAUGAGUCGGAUUUGGAUAAUAACACUUCGGUUUCGGUUCUAAUUUGUAAUGCAUCCUAGAAUUUGUAAAGUAAUCAUAUAUCAUUUGGAUUCUAGGUUUUUCUGUUCGGUUGGGCUUAUAUUGAAGUAAAAUACGUAAUUAAAAAUCUAAACAUAGGAAAUAUAAUACUUGAACUGAUCAAAAAAGAAUUCAACACAUAUCAAAUGCUUAAUAAUGAUGAUAAUCUGAAAACUUAAAAAAUCGUAACCCGUAACAUGCGUGGUAUGUAUACAUAACUAUAAGUCAUAUAUGGUCGAUUUAGUUCGGUUAUGUUUCGGUUAUGGGUUAAACUGAACCGAAACCGAUAUCCGAAGUAUCACAAUAUGAAACCCGAUGGGUUAUUUGCUGAAUCCGCAACCAGUUUGAUAACCCUUAUUUCGGGUUUGGGUUUGGGUUUAGGUUUUGGUUUUCAUGCCCAUGCUUACCUCUUUCUUCCACAAUCUUAUAUUGAGUGAAGGUUUACUGCUUGCAUUCUCAGAAUAAAACUUCAUCACAUCUUGUUCAACCGCUGAAAGAAACCAACUUCUUUCAAGCUGCUUGUGUCUCCUCUACACACCAAAUCUUUUACCUUUUUCCUCCAGUUUUCAAUCUCUUCUGAUUCUCAUGAUUCAAAAUCAAAUGCUAGGAUGAACAUUUCGGUAUUGUUCCGUUAGAAGCAAUGGUUGCAUACAAACCAGUGAUAGCCUGCAACAGUGGUGGCCCUAUGGAGACGGUAAAGAAUGGAGUAACAGGAUAUCUCUGUGAAGCGACUCCAGAAGAUUUCAGUUCGGCUGUGGGUAAGUUUCCUAGAGAAUUCUGAGUUGGCGAAGAGGAUGGGAAGUGAAGCUAAGAAACAUGUUGAAACAUUCUCUAGACGUUCGGUCAAAAGUUGAAUCAGUAUCUCGUUGAUGUAGUUUCAAGUCCUAAAGAAGAUUGAGAUUCCUCUGUUGAGUACUCGUCCUGUUUCAUUUUAGUUGAUGUUUAAGGUAAAGAAUGGAGUAACAGGAUAUCUCUGUGAAGCGACUCCAGAAGAUUUCAGUUCGGCUGUGGGUAAGUUUCCUAGAGAAUUCUGAGUUGGCGAAGAGGAUGGGAAGUGAAGCUAAGAAACAUGUUGAAACAUUCUCUAGACGUUCGGUCAAAAGUUGAAUCAGUAUCUCGUUGAUGUAGUUUCAAGUCCUAAAGAAGAUUGAGAUUCCUCUGUUGAGUACUCGUCCUGUUUCAUUUUAGUUGAUGUUUAAGGUUUUUGUACAAAGAUAAAAAAUUCAAAAUUUUAUACAAUUUAUUUUGGUUAAAUGAAAAAUAUCAUUAAAUAAAA